rnacentral:rRNA from 1 species
UGACCUGCGGAGGGAUCAUUACCGAGUUUACAACUCCCAAACCCAAUGUGAACGUUACCAAACUGUUGCCUCGGCGGGAUCUCUGCCCCGGGUGCGUCGCAGCCCCGGACCAAGGCGCCCGCCGGAGGACCAACCAAAACUCUUAUUGUAUACCCCCUCGCGGGUUUUUUUAUAAUCUGAGCCUUCUCGGCGCCUCUCGUAGGCGUUUCGAAAAUGAAUCAAAACUUUCAACAACGGAUCUCUUGGUUCUGGCAUCGAUGAAGAACGCAGCGAAAUGCGAUAAGUAAUGUGAAUUGCAGAAUUCAGUGAAUCAUCGAAUCUUUGAACGCACAUUGCGCCCGCCAGUAUUCUGGCGGGCAUGCCUGUCCGAGCGUCAUUUCAACCCUCGAACCCCUCCGGGGGGUCGGCGUUGGGGAUCGGCCCUGCCUUGGCGGUGGCCGUCUCCGAAAUACAGUGGCGGUCUCGCCGCAGCCUCUCCUGCGCAGUAGUUUGCACACUCGCAUCGGGAGCGCGGCGCGUCCACAGCCGUUAAACACCCAACUUCUGAAAUGUUGACCUCGGAUCAGGUAGGA